rnacentral:rRNA from 1 species
GGACUACCCGGGUAUCUAAUCCUGUUUGCUCCCCACGCUUUCGCGUCUCAGCGUCAGUGUCCGUCCAGGUCGCCGCCUUCGCCACUGGUGUUCCUCCCGAUAUCUACGAAUUUCACCUCUACACCGGGAAUUCCGCGACCCUCUCCGGCACUCAAGCUCGGCAGUUUCCCGCGCACUUCCCUGGUUAAGCCAGGGGAUUUCACACGAGACUUUUCAAGCCGCCUACAAGCGCUUUACGCCCAAUAAUUCCGAACAACGCUAGCACCCUCUGUAUUACCGCGGCUGCUGGCAC